rnacentral:lncRNA from 1 species
UGUGGAUUUCUAGCUGCGCAUAUUCUUGAUUUUACUUGUGGAUAUUAUGGCAAUCAACAUGUUUGCAGUGUGGGAUGUGUCCUUCAGCUGUACUGGGGUCGUGGCUGAGCAGCGUCUGCCAUCGGAGAAGCUGAGAUGAACCGGAUGGAGUCACCCACCCAGCCCAAAGUGUGCUGAAAGCCUCCCGUGUCCCGGCGCCGGGUUCCCACGAUCGCCAUCGCCAGAGAGCGGGAGAGGAGCCGGCCCUGCGGUGGGAACGGAGAAGGAACAAGAUGAUGUCUCACUAAGAGUGGUUUGUAGGUGCCAUGGCCAAAGGCUGUACUGACAGAUGUCCUCUGUCUUCAAACCUGUGGGUAUAUUGCUGGAAGGAGCGCAUGCAAAGUCUGUUGGGCUUUUCUCAAGGCAAUAUCUUACCAAAAACAAUUUCCCAGGGAGGAGGAGAGGAGCAACACCUCAGCCCGUUCUGCUGUCACUCCCAGCCCCUCUCCCCUGGUCCCGAGCGCGAUGCCCUCCCUCGCCGGAGCACGCGCUUCCGCCCCGCGUUCAGACCGGCGUCAUUACACGGUUCCUGUGGUGCGUUUAUUAGCAUACAUCACAGCAGCGCUGGUUCCAGUGCUUGCUAA